rnacentral:rRNA from 1 species
UAGAUACCCUAUUAUAAAAAUUUAAAUUAAUUUACUAAAAAAUUAAUAGUUAAGUUCUUUAAAUUUAAAAAAUUUGGCGGUAUUUUAGUCUUAUUAGAGGAACCUGUUUAUUAAUUGAUAAUCCACGAUUAAUUUUACUUAUUUUAAUUAAUUCAUAUAUCGCUGUCAUGAAUAUAUUAAAAAAUUUAUUUUCUUUUCUUAUUUUUAUAAUUUAUGUUAAGUCAAGAUGUGGUUUAUAAAUAAGAAUAUAAUGGGUUACAAUAAAUUUUAUUUUUGAAUUUUAAAUGAAAAUUAAAAUGAAAUUGGAUUUAAUAGUAAAUUUAUUUAUUUA